UGAGGAAUAUUGGUCAAUGGGCGCUAGCCUGAACCAGCCAAGUAGCGUGAAGGAUGAAGGCUCUAUGGGUCGUAAACUUCUUUUAUAUAAGAAUAAAGUGCAGUAUGUAUACUGUUUUGUAUGUAUUAUAUGAAUAAGGAUCGGCUAACUCCGUGCCAGCAGCCGCGGUAAUACGGAGGAUCCGAGCGUUAUCCGGAUUUAUUGGGUUUAAAGGGAGCGUAGGUGGACUGGUAAGUCAGUUGUGAAAGUUUGCGGCUCAACCGUAAAAUUGCAGUUGAUACUGUCAGUCUUGAGUACAGUAGAGGUGGGCGGAAUUCGUGGUGUAGCGGUGAAAUGCUUAGAUAUCACGAAGAACUCCGAUUGCGAAGGCAGCUCACUGGACUGCAACUGACACUGAUGCUCGAAAGGGUGGGUAUCAAACAGG
rnacentral:rRNA from 1 species